rnacentral:misc_RNA from 1 species
GGGAUAUGGUUUAUCUUGGAGUGUUUUCAAACAGGGCCACCUGUUAAGCGGUUCGGAUGACUCUCAAAUAUGCUUGUGGGAUAUCGAAGCAACUCCUAAAAACAAGUCUCUUGAUGCUCUUCAGAUUUUUAAGGUUCAUGAUGGAGUAGUUGAAGAUGUUGCUUGGCAUUUGAGACAUGAAUACCUGUUUGGUUCAGUUGGGGAUGAUCAUCAAAUGCUCAUAUGGGAUCUACGGACACCGACAGCUAACAAGCCAGUUCAAUCUGUA